rnacentral:lncRNA from 1 species
CCUCCCCAACUCAACCUCAUCUUCCUCGCCCAACCUAACAUCAUCAUCUCCCAACUCAACGCUCUUCCUCCCCCAACUCAACCUCAUCUUCCUCGCCCAACUCAACACAAUCAUCUCCCAACUCAACCUCAUCUUCCUCCCCAACAUCAUCUUCCUCCCCAACUCAACAUCAUCUUCCUCUUCCAAUUCAUCACGCUCUUCCUCCUCCAACUCAACCUCAUCUUCCUCCCCAACUCAUCAUCAUCUUCCUCUUCCAACCCAACACAAUCAUCUCCCAACUCAACUCUUCCUCCCCAAAAUCAUCUUCCUCCCCCAACCCAACCUCAUCUUCCUCCCCCACUCAAUGUCAUCUUCAUCCCCAACCCAACCUCAUCUUCCUCUUCCAACUCAUCAUCAUCAUCUCCCAACUCAUCAUCUUCCUCCCCAACCUCAUCUUCCUCCCCAAAAACAUCUUCCUCCCCCAGCUCAACGUCAUCUUCAUCCCCGACUCAUCAUCAUCUUCAUCCCUGACUCAUCAUCAUCUUCCUCCCUCAACUCAGCCUCAUCUUCCUCACCCAACUCAUCAUCAUCAUCUCCCAACUCAUCAUCUUCCUCCCCAACCUCAUCUUCCUCCCCAAGAACAUCAUCUUCAUCCCCAACCCAACCUCAUCUUCCUCGCCCAACCUAACAUCAUCAUCUCCCAACUCAACGCUCUUCCUCCCCCAACCCAACCUCAUCUUCCUCCUCCAACUCAUCAUCAUCAUCUCCCAACUCAACGCGCUCUUCCUCCCCAACUCAUCAUCAUCUUCCUCUUCCAACCCAACACAAUCAUCUCCCAACUCAACUCUUCCUCCCCAAAAUCAUCUUCCUCACCCAACCCAACCUCAUCUUCCUCCCCCACUCAAUGUCAUCUUCAUCCCCAACCCAACCUCAUCUU